rnacentral:rRNA from 1 species
UACGUAGGGUGCGAGCGUUGUCCGGAAUUAUUGGGCGUAAAGGGCUCGUAGGCGGUUUGUCGCGUCGGGAGUGAAAACCCAGGGCUUAACCCUGGGCUGGCUUUCGAUACGGGCAGACUAGAGGUAUGCAGGGGAGAACGGAAUUCCUGGUGUAGCGGUGAAAUGCGCAGGAUAUCAGGAGGAACACCGGUGGCGAAGGCGGUUCUCUGGGCCGGUACUGACGCUGAGACGCGAAAGCGGGGGGAGCGAACAGG